rnacentral:lncRNA from 1 species
AGCAAGGUUGGACAGGGAGGUGGAUGCUGAAGCAGUGAGGAGAGAAAGUCUGAGGAGGACGGAGGGCAAAGUGUGAAGAUCAGGAAGGGGAGCGGGUACACUCCCAGAUGGUGCAGAGAUUUAUUGUAAAGGUCUAGCAUCUGCGGAUGGAGUGCGUGCGGCAUGGCAAGACAGCCUUCUCCUGA